rnacentral:rRNA from 1 species
AUACGGAGGGGGUUAGCGUUGUUCGGAAUUACUGGGCGUAAAGCGCACGUAGGCGGACUGGAAAGUUGGGGGUGAAAUCCCGGGGCUCAACCCCGGAACUGCCUCCAAAACUUCCAAUCUAGAGAUCGAGAGAGGUAAGUGGAAUUCCUAGUGUAGAGGUGAAAUUCGUAGAUAUUAGGAGGAACACCAGUGGCGAAGGCGGCUUACUGGCUCGAUACUGACGCUGAGGUGCGAAAGCGUGGGGAGCAAACAGGAUUAGAUACCCUAGUAGUCC